CCUACGGGAGGCAGCAGUGGGGAAUAUUGCACAAUGGGGGAAACCCUGAUGCAGCGACGCCGCGUGAAGGAAGAAGUAUUUCGGUAUGUAAACUUCUAUCAGCAGGGAAGAAAAUGACGGUACCUGACUAAGAAGCCCCGGCUAACUAAGUGCCAGCAGCCGCGGUAAUACGUAGGGGGCAAGCGUUAUCCGGCUUUACUGGGUGUAAAGGGAGCGUAGGCGGGGAUGCAAGUCAGAAGUGAAAGCCCGGGGCUCAACUCCGGGAAUGCUUUUGAAACUGUAUGGCUAGAUUGCAGGAGAGGAAAGUGGAAUGCCUAGGGUAGCGGUGAAAUGCGUAGAUAUUAGGAGGAACACCAGUGGCGAAGGCGGCUUGCUGGACUGUAAAUGACGCUGAGGCUCGAAAGCGUGGGGAGCAAACAGGAUUAGAGACCCGAGUAGUC
rnacentral:rRNA from 1 species